AUCAUUGCCUGGUUCCUGGAGGACAAAAAAGCCAUAUGGCAGGAUGUCACUGGAUUAUCCAAGGAACAGGCUCCUGAAGACCCUGUUCAGGCCUCUGCCUAGUACCCAGAUUCUGGGAACAUUCAGCAUUGCCUGAGGAGAUGGAGAUGAUCCAGGAUGUCAGCAGUUCCCAUGUGAAGGAGGGUCAGCCAUGGGAGGAGAGCAGGACACAUCCUGUGCCAAUUUCCAGGGCCCGGGAAUUACACACAUAAAGUCUCCUGCUGUGUGGACCUGACCCUCCCACAUUCACUUCCUCACUGCCUCUCCCAUUCACUCCCUCAUUCACUCACCCCUCUCCUAAUUCAGCUGGUGACCUGUGGUCCCUGUCAUGUGCCCUGCAAGGUGACUCCAUCAGUGACCCAACAGGAUCCCCACAUGUAUCAUCUUCCUUUGCAGAGUCUGUACAUUCCUGUGCUGUUUCCCCUCUGACAAGGCUCAGGUCUGCAGGGUGACUAUGUCCCCCAGACCAACUGUGUUCCCAGGGCUCGAGGUCCUUGGGGUAUCCGUGCUCCCAGGCUGCCAGGAGAGGUUGCUACUGUGGGGAAGGCCUGAGCCAUCUGGCUGACCGCAGGGUCACAGAUGCUAUUCUUCUGCUUAGGUAGUUGGACUGCGGGGCCAUGAAGAGUCAUCAGCAAGAAUGCAGCACAUUGUUGGCUUCAGUUUCGCACAUCCAAGACAAAGAUUCUAACAGAACCUGACGCACACCGUUGUGCGGUCAAAGUGACAGUCCCCGAAAGAAGUCACCACUGAAGUAACAGAUGGUGUAUGACACAGAAACAUACAUGCAGGUGGAUUUGGAGGCAGUAAGGGAAGUUGUUCCAGCCAGGAUGGCUGUGAGAAUACUGAAGACACAGCAUGAGGUUGGAGAAGUCUCUGUCUCCAGACAAGACAGCCCAGGAGCAGGCAUGUCCCCAUGCCACAGGCAUUCAGCUUCCCUCAACACAAGCCACUGAGCAUAAAAAGAGCUUGGGAUAAAGAGUCACCCGCCAAGCCACCCAAAAACAAAAGAAGGACCAGGAACUUGUCAUGACGGACUGUGAAGAAAAAACUAGAGAAAACCAAGAAAAAAAAAAAGCUGGGACUGUGGGAAUUGAGUAUAGGAAUCCCUGAGCUUGUACCAAUGGGUUAACAAGGCUAAAGAUGAAAGCAUCCAAGAUUAGGUAAGCAGGGCAAAAGCACCCCAGCAUAGAACAAAGACACAGGAAUAGGAAGACACAGAGUGAAAGCAUCCAAGAUUACGUAAACAGGGCGAAAGCACCCCCAGCAUAGUACAAAAGCAGAAAGCUGCUUUCAGAAGAUGGAAGCUCCAGAAUAGGUAUACAGGUAAAGAGGGCUAAAGACAGCCUCAACAGGGUGAAAUCACCUGGAGCAGAGCUAACGAGCAACAGAAACCUGCCUUCUUAACUCUGAGGUAGCAUUCUCUGUCUUAUCCGUAGGUAAAUUAAGAUAAACAGACAAUGUGUCUCAUGCCUGCCAUAAACAGCCAGCUGCUGGAUGCCAGGAUUUUUUUUUUAUAUUGACCCAAACCCUAACACCACAUAACACAAAAACCUCCUUUCUCUCACACACGUAGGUUAAUAAUCACCUGCCAGGUGGCUUUUUAUGUCUUGUAGGCACCAGGCAAUAAUUUCACCUCAUCUCUCAGAGAAUCCAACAGACAACCCAUCAAGAAGUCCAAGUUAUGUCCUCCAGUCACAGAUGUGGAAACUAAGGCUAAUAGCACAGCCUGGGUUCACUAGUAAAACAAGCUAGGUGAGCAUCCCUGUACCCUUGACUUUCGAUUGUCCUAACCUCAGGCCUGUAUCUCAGCAUUCUGGAACUCAGAUCCCACCUCCUGGAGCACCCCACCCUCCUGCCAUGAGGACCCUCUGAACUCAGGGGAGCAGAGCUGUGCCAUCUGCCUGGGACCAGACAUGGUGGCUGGGAAAGGGAGGACCCUGGGCUCUGUAGGCUCUCCCAGUACAGGACCACCUGGGCUCUGUGGUCUCUCUUGAUACCAGAUGAGCUGGGCUCCAUGAACUCUCCUGGUACUGGACAGCUGCUCCCCUUCAGGUCAGGACUUCUCACUGUGGAUCUCCUGGGGCUUGGUUUCCUUAUGUUAUCAACUGACCUGCUGCUCCCCAGACCAUAAACCACCAUCUGAGGGUGAUCAGCACUGCCCCAUACGGUUUAAUUUGCCUGAAUCCCUUCCAGGAAAGUCCCACAUCUCUGACAACUGCUCCCCAUGGAAGUCGCCUCCCCUUGGACUUGCAUGUGUUUGCUCUUCAUCCCAGGAACACAUGGACUUUGGAGUAUUUUGGGAACAGAGGCCUGUGAAACGUUUCUCUAGAGUUGGGAUGUGAGUAACGCUUUCCCCCUAUAUGGUGUCACUGUCCAGCUUUCUGCAUUUCCUGCUUUAUGUUUUCACCACAUGGGCAACAACCAUGCCUUCUCUGGCAUCAGGCUGUGCUGUCACAGAAGGAACAGGGGCCUUUACCCCAAGGUUAUGACCAAUUUUACCAAAGGGGUCUAAUUUUUUCACAUCCAACUUUUGAUCCUUUGGGAAUUUCAAGAUCAAAUGAGAAAAGUUCUGUUUCAAAUAAACAGAAAAUACAAAAAUUAA